rnacentral:rRNA from 1 species
UUUUAUUAAACUUAAUUUUUUUGGCGGUUUAUUACCCUUUCAUAGGAACUUGUGAAUUUUAAUAGAUAACCCGCUUUUAUUAUAGCCUUUUUUUUAUUUUAUGUACGGCUGUUUAGUAUUAAUGUAAUUUUUAUUACUUAAAAAAUUUUUUUUUUAUUUCAGGUCAAUGUGUAGAUUAUAUAGAGGUUUUUAUGAGUUACUAUAUUAGGAUAGGGUAUUAAUUACUUUUGAAAUUGGAUAUGAUAGUAAAUAAAAAUUAAAAUUUUUUAUUGAUGAGGGACCUAAUAAAAGUACAUAUCGCCCGUCACUCUUUUGAUAG